GUUUUGUUACACUUUCACUUAAUGUCAAAACUCGACACAUUUCCCAAGUCCUUACGGAAUUUUCACAUUUAUCAGAGAUUUAUGAACUACUGUCUCGGGAAGCUGAGAAGUUGUCCUUGGUCUGAGUUAGAUGGGCUUCAGGCAGAGACAAAGAUCAUCGAUGAACACUUGAGUAAUAUAAACACGAAAGGUUUUCUCACUGUUAACAAGCCAACCUGCAGUUAUCGGUGCAAAAUCUGAUGCUCCUUUAGCUGGAUGGGGUGGUCCUGGUGGAUACGUUUAUCAAAAGGCGUACUUGGAGUUCUUUUGCUCGCGCGAGAUGUUGACUGCUGUUGUCGAGAAAUGCAAAGCUUUCCCUUUCCUUACGUACAUGGUGGUGAACAAGCAAGGAAACUUCAUUCCAACGUCCACCAAACCGAUGUCAAUGCAGUGACAUGGGGCGUAUUCCCAGCAAAGGAGAUUGUACAACCAACCAUCUUUGAUCCUGCGAGCUUCAUGGUGUGGAAAGACGAGGCAUUUGAAAUCUGGUCAAGGUUGAAAAGUAUAGUGUAACUUAGCUAAUCCAACUUCUAAAUGUCUAUUGAUUCCUCAAACGUUCAAACACAAGAAGAAUAUUUUAAUGUAAAUUAGUAUCGAAAGUGCAGGAUAACCAAGUAAAUACAUGAUUCAGUUAGGGGGAAAGGAUUGGAGCAAAAUUUUUACUGAGUCAAGUCGAUAGACUAAGAGAUGAUAAAUUAAAGUAAAAAUGUUAAAAGUGGAAUCUUUUCUUAUCUCUUUUGUUCCACAGCUCACUCCAUUUUCUCUCAACUUCACGUUUUUUUCGUACCAUACCUCCUGCUAUGUUCACAUCUAAUCUCCGUCUACAAAAUAGCAUCUAAAAUUUUUUAAUGGAAUCAAUUUUUUUUUGUACUUUCAACGCAGUCGCUGUCGGCAGAUCUAAUUGAUAUGUGGCUGCUGGAACCGUGGUCACGCAAGACUACCAUGACGCCUCACUUGAGUCACAAGGACGAUUCAAUAUUGCAGCCCUUUCAAGGUGUAUUAACCGAUGCAAAGUUGAAGGAAUCUCAACGAAUUACUUUCCAAGAAGGAUUAUGUUGGGCAAGAACUGCUGAAAGAUAAACAUCUAGAAUGAGGUUAGAGUAUCUAAAAUCUGUUCUGAGGCAAGAAGUUGAAUUUUUCGACACACAGACCACUGAAUCUUCCACUGCUUAUCGAGUCAUUUCGACUAUCUCAGCUGAUUCAACUACCAUCCAAAUCGCUAUAGGCGAGAAGCAAGAAGACUGCAAAACGUCCAAAGUUUAGAUUGUCGACAUUCUCAGUGCUGAUGGAUGGACCAUUUGGUGUUGUUACAGCUACAGAAAUGAUAGGUGUUAUUCACUUCUCUGUGUACAUCGUGUGGGCUGUAAUAAUGUACACUAUACAGAAUGUUGACCUCUUAUCCUCAUUUCAUGCAGACAACGUGAAAGAGAAAAGGCAGAGACUUCUGACUAUGCAGUCAGGAUCAUACUACAUGUCAGGAUAAACUCCUCAUGCCAUGUAUCUCCCAUCUCACACACAGUGGACGUGCUUCUUUUAUUGCAGCAGCAGCAGAGUAGAGUUAUUUCAUAUGCAGUUUUCGAGCUUGUAUCAUCCACCUCAACCCUCGACAUAUCGGCAGUGCCAUGGCUGGAAAUAUUGGGGUUGGUAUGGCUCAAGUCGAUGCGUAUCAGCAAACCUCAAUUAGGUCAUCUGAACUGGACAGGAAAUUUCUGAAGAAUGAAUAAAAGUCUUUAAUAGGACAAUAUCUUCCCUUUUUAGUUGUUAAAGUUACAACUAUUCGGGUGUUUUCAUUUUCUAUUUAAAUUAUCCGAUUUUAAAGUGAUUUUGUUCAUAUAAGUUCAAAAAACUAACUUAUAGUGUUGAUAAGGGGUAUUUCCAUGGGUU